CACCCGUCCCUCGUGUCCACGCGUGCCGUGGAGGGACGCAUCUGCGGGCACUUGCCCUCGCUCCCCUCGGGAUGGCACCCGCCGUCGCUCCCUCGGCACAACAACGAACCCCGGCGCGGACCGCGCCAAGGAAUCUUAACGAGAGAGCGUGCCCUUGCCGCCCCGGAAACGGUGCGUGUGCUUGUGGCGUCGCCUUCUUCCAUUAUUUAAAACGACUCUCGGCAACGGAUAUCUCGGCUCUCGCAUCGAUGAAGAACGUAGCGAAAUGCGAUACUUGGUGUGAAUUGCAGAAUCCCGUGAACCAUCGAGUCUUUGAACGCAAGUUGCGCCCCAAGCCGUUAGGCCGAGGGCACGCCUGCCUGGGUGUCACGCAUCGUUGCCCCCCCCUCCGAAACCCCUCUCCUCGCCUCUCGAAAGAGAGAGACGGAUGGGACUUGGGUGUGGGCGGAUAUUGGCCUCCCGUGGGCCGAACGGCUCGCGGUUGGCCUAAAUUUGAGUCGUCGGCGAUGGACGCCGUGACGUUCGGUGGUCGAAUAAACCUCGAGCUCUCGUCGCGCGUCCUUCGUCGGUAUAGUAAGGCUCACUGACCCUGAAGCGUUGUCAACAACGCACGCAUCGCGACCCCAGGUCAGGCGGGAUUACCCGCUGAG
rnacentral:rRNA from 1 species